rnacentral:rRNA from 1 species
UAGUCAUAUGCUUGUCUCAAAGAUUAAGCCAUGCAUGUCUAAGUACAAGCCUCACUAAGGUGAAACCGCGAAUGGCUCAUUAAAUCACACCUAAUCUACUGGAUAGUUAACAGUUACUUGGAUAACUGCGGUAAUUCUGGAGCUAAUACAUGCACAAAGCCCCGAACUUACGUGAGGGGCGCUUUUAUUAGAUCAAAACCAAACGGCUUCGGCUGUAUCCUUGGUGACUCUGAAUAACUUUGGGCUGAUCGCAUGGCCUAGCGCCGGCGACAUAUCCUUCGAAGGUGUGCCCUAUCAACUGUCGACUGUGGCAUAGACGCCCACAGUGGUUUUGACGGGUAACGGGGAAUCAGGGUUCGAUUCCGGAGAGGGAGCCUUAAAAACGGCUACCACAUCUGAGGAAGGCAGCAGGCACGCAAAUUACCCAAUGACCGAAGGUCGAGGUAGUGACAAAAAAUAACGAUACGGGACUCAUCUGAGGCCCCGUAAUCGGAAUGAGUACACUUUAAAACCGUCCCCGAGGAUCUAUUGG